rnacentral:rRNA from 1 species
AUUGAACGCUGGCGGCAUGCUUUACACAUGCAAGUCGAACGGCAGCGCGGGCUUCGGCCUGGCGGCGAGUGGCGAACGGGUGAGUAAUACAUCGGAACGUGCCCAGUAGUGGGGGAUGGCUCGGCGAAAGCCGGAUUAAUACCGCAUACGACCUGAGGGUGAAAGCGGGGGAUCUUCGGACCUCGCGCUAUUGGAGCGGCCGAUGGCAGAUUAGCUAGUUGGUGGGGUAAAGGCCUACCAAGGCGACGAUCUGUAGCUGGUCUGAGAGGACGACCAGCCACACUGGGACUGAGACACGGCCCAGACUCCUACGGGAGGCAGCAGUGGGGAAUUUUGGACAAUGGGCGAAAGCCUGAUCCAGCAAUGCCGCGUGUGUGAUGAGGGCCUUCGGGUUGUAAAGCACUUUUGGCGGGAACGAAAAGGACUGUGCCAAUACCACGGUUCGAUGACGGUACCCGCAGAAUAAGCACCGGCUAACUACGUG